rnacentral:rRNA from 1 species
UGCAGUCGUACGAGAGUUUUUAACUCAAGUGGCGGACGGGUGAGUAACACGUAAGAAUUUACCUUUAGGAGGGGGACAACAACUGGAAACGGUUGCUAAUACCCCAUAUGCUUUCGAGUGAAAUGGAUUUUCCGCCUAGAGAGAAGCUUGCGGCUGAUUAGCUUGUUGGUAGAGUAACAGCCUACCAAGGCGACGAUCAGUAUCUGGUUUGAGAGGACGAUCAGACACACUGGAACUGAGACACGGUCCAGACUCCUACGGGAGGCAGCAGUAGGGAAUUUUCCGCAAUGGGCGAAAGCCUGACGGAGCAAUACCGCGUGAGGGAUGACUGCCUAUGGGUUGUAAACCUCUUUUUUCAGGGAGGAAUUAAUGACGUGUACCUGAAGAAUAAGCAUCGGCUAACCCCGUGCCAGCAGCCGCGGUAAGACGGAGGAUGCAAGUGUUAUCCGGAAUCACUGGGCGUAAAGCGUCUGUAGGUGGUCAAAUAAGUCAACUGUUAAAUCUUGAGGCUCAACCUCAAAAUCGCAGUCGAAACUAUUAGACUAGAGUAUAGUAGAGGUAAAGGGAAUUUCCAGUGGAGCGGUGAAAUGCGUAGAGAUUGGAAAGAACACCGAUGGCGAA